CAUCUCAGGACAGAGUCCCCGAGGCGGGUGUGGCCGAGGGGUCAGCGGUGGGGGCGGGGCGGGGAGGAGUUGCAGCCCUGAGGACACAAGGCCACCCAGGCUCCGCCACCCUCCCUCGAGAGGAAUGCAGGGCCUCGCUCCCGUCCACCCGGCAUGGGAUUGGCGUCUUUGUGUUAUUUGCUUCUUUUUCUACCAAAAGGAGUUCAAAAGUUGAGAGCUGAUUAGUAUUCCAGGCACCAGGACGGCUGCAAACCAGCUCGAGGCGCAGGAGCAGGAUGGGGGGCUGGCCUGAGCUCAGCACCGCUCACGUCACCCGGCUCCUCACAGGCCAGCUUGAAUCCUCCGAUCGCCGGGCUCCCGAAGCUUGUAGCCCCAGGGUGGAUGAAAGUACAGCGAGCCACACCCGGGUCCACAGUGAGUCCCUCGGGCCCUAGGUCUGGGCAGCCAGACCUUUGCCCUGGUUGGUUCGCAGGCAGCAGAUGCCUGCGUCCUUUGAGAGCCGUCCCUGACGGACUCUCUGCAGCCCCGCCAGCUUAUCUGGAAGCGGCCCCCGCGCCAUCUGGACCUGAGAAUCCGAGCCCUCCGGUCUGGCCCGUCAUUUCACUCGAGUCAGCGAAGAUUUAUGGCCCCGUGCAGUGCACCAGCCCCCAUCAGGGUCUGCGCCGGGCACGGGCCAGGGGACCCACGGCGCGGGCUGUCCAUCAGCCUGUCCGGGAGCAGUGGGGGUCCUCCUCCCGAGGCUUCCUGCCAGGACGGGCAGACGUUGCACAGCACGUCCGGCCCGAAGCGAGUGUUUCCUUUGGCAGAAGGUUCUCUUCGCCGAGGCUGCGUCAGCCAGAAAGGCUGGGAUUGCAGAAGAUCAAGAAACCGUCCUUUUCGUCUUCAACUCACCUGUCGGGCACGGUCCCGUCUCACCUUUACCACAAAGCGACAGCACAUUCGGGGUUAAAAUCACUCAUCCUCCGUCUGCGGCAAAAGAUCUCGGUGUGGGGAGGUGAGGGCGGGGGCGGCCAGGACGGCUCUGUCCCGGGUUUCACACGCGGUCGCUGUCCCAGAAACGCACGCUCGAUGCCAGGGGCCCCGGCUCCUGCUUGACGCGUCGGGCCAGGUGCCCCCGCGGCGCCCGCUCCUGGAGGCACAGCCUUCUGAAGCUCGGGGCCCAGCCCCUCCCAUCCGAGAACACGGCUGUCAGAGGGAACCCACCGUUCCGCACACAGGGUUUAUCGACCGCCCGGAAAGCAGCCAUUCCGCCAGUCUCAACCGCUCCACUGCCGUUGCAGGGCACAGAACUGCCGGCGCGUUUUCACAAGAGUGCGCGCACCAGGCGCUGGAUCCAAGAGCACGGCCGCAGGUGGUGCUCGCACAGUGACACCGUCGGGGGCCGGCAGAGUCACCACCUGACGGGAGCCGGAGCUGGCUCAGGGGCGACGCGGCCCCUUGCAGGCUGAACCCCAAGAUAAGCGCUGUGUGACCCUGUGGCCGCCGGCCAGAGCGCCCAGUGGCUGACCAGCAUUCAAGCUCAUUGCCUGUGUUCACCCUCCAGUCCUUUGCCUGCCCCAGUCCGCCUCCAGGAAACCACCGCACGUGUUUGCUUCUGUCUUGGAAUAAGCUGUGUGUGGUCGGGUCGUUCAGAACGGCUGUCCAGGACCUGCUUCACCUACACCUUAGCCAUGUGGCUGACCUUCCUGCGCACUGGCCCCAGGCCCCAGCUGUGAUGUUCUUAUCAAAGAGGUCAUAAGGGGCGUGCCCCUCUGCAGGGUUCCCUGGUAACCGAUGAGCCACACCUGGCAAUCUCCUCUCCCCACUGGGAGCAAAUGCUGCCACACGUCCUGUCCACCACCCACUGCACCCGGUGGGGUGUUGCUCCAGGAGCUUCUUCAGACAUGCAUGCUCCCCCUUCCGUGAAACCACUGACGUCUCUGUCUCUGCCUCCAGGCUCUUUCUUCGGUCCUAAAGCUGGGUGAGCACCAGGCUUGCAGCCUGCGGGGUGCAGCCCAACAGGAACACACAGGAGAGCUUCCGUGUUUAUGUCUGAACCGACUGACUGUCAUGGGGCUGAGCCUCCGCACCGCUUGCCCUGCGAUGCACUCAAAGUGCUCCGUGUCCAGCACCCGCUGCAGACUGCAUGAGGCCCCGGCUGACGCAGGGCCCCCCAUGUCUCCUCCGCCUUUACCCCCUCUUCUGGGUCACACACCUUGGGUGCCGGCAUCUCCUGUUCACACCGCAUUGAGUGUGCUAAGACACCACCCCGUGCCUGCAGACAGUUGUCAGAGCCGGUACCCAGGCUGCUCCCACCCCAUCACCUGGAUUCCCAUUUUUGUCCAUCCUCUACCAGCAGCUGGAUUCAUCAGGCUUUUCCCUUUUGAAAGUACAAUGAGUACGAGAUGAAGGAGCAAUGCUGUUUAACUCAGCAUUUCUCUGGUUGCCCGUGUGCUGUGUCUUCCAGGCAUUCAGGUUCCCCCUCUUCUGAAUGGCCUACACAUUUCUUGGCAAAUUUUUCUUGAUUGUCCUCCUUUUCUCCUUCUUAAUUUUGAAGAAGCGUUGCACCUCCUCUAGCUGGCCAUGCCUUGUCAGCUUUAAAUGUUGACGGUGUCUUCUGAGCCAUCCUCCAGCUCCUCACCAUACGGUCAGCGGAUCCAUCCCUCUUCGUGACGGGCGGUGCUUUGGAAGAAAGCACACGGUUAUAGAACCCCCUCCUCACUUGAGAGUACGGAGACCCUCUCGCGUUUCUUCAGUGGCCUUUACAGCUGCCCCCGUCGCUCUGGUCUUCAGUCCUUCCAGCGACGGCCUUAGCUUGGUCAGAGGCUGUGCGUCUAAGGAUUCUUUUCUCUGCAGACUGCAUGUCACCUCCUUGCUGGGCACCAGAUCACCCAUCCUCUCCUCACUGAAGUGCUGUUACUUGCAGGGCCCCCAAAUUUCUAACCAUGUUUCUGAAAUCUGUUUUCUGUCUCUUGUCUACAAGUCAGUUUUCUCCAGAAGCAGGAUUUUCCUGAUCACUUCUUUCCAGUGUGUCUUAAUAUAUGGUAGCCUAACUCCCCUUUCUCUUUUCUUUUUCAAAAGUGUCUUGUUUAUUCUGGAUAUUUGUUGCUUCACAAAUUUUAAAUGAUUUUAUUCUUUAAAACAACCAUACUAGAGUUUUUAUUGGAACAGCAUUACUUGGGUAGAUGUAUUGAGGUGGGGUGAAACAUUUCACAAUGCCAAGUUGCCUCAUCCAUGAAUAUGGUAUAUGUCUUGCCUUCUUUCACAUCCGACGUGAUGUCUGUCUUCUAGUAAAUUUUAUGUUUUCU
ensembl:lncRNA